UACGUACUUCCUCCGUCCAACAAAAGAUAUCUCAAGUUUGUCAAAAUUUGAAUGUAUCUAGACAUGACUUAAUAUAUAGAUGCAUUUAAAUUUGGUUAAACUUGAGACAUCCUUUGUUAUACGGAGGGAGUAGUUC
rfam:Brachypodium distachyon strain Bd21 chromosome 4, whole genome shotgun sequence.